GCACCUUUUGUUGUUUCCUCGGCAGGUCCUCUGCCGUCAGGAACCCCCUAAACCCUCUUGCAACAGCAUCCAAACUUCUGAGAACAAACCAAAUCAUUUACAACUUUUAACAAUGGAUCUCUUGGUUCUGGCAUCGAUGAAGAACGCAGCGAAAUGCGAUAAGUAGUGUGAAUUGCAGAAUUCAGUGAAUCAUCGAAUCUUUGAACGCACAUUGCGCCCCUUGGUAUUCCAUGGGGCAUGCCUGUUCGAGCGUCAUUUACACCCUCAAGCGUUGCUUGGUGUUGGGCGUCUGUCCCGCUUCGCGCGCGGACUCGCCCCAAAGGUAUUGGCAGCGGUCGUGCCAGCUUCUCGCGCAGCACAUUGCGCUUCUCGAGGCACCGGUGGGCCCGCGUCCAUCAAGCUUACCCCCCGACUUGACCUCGGAUCAGGUAGGGAUACCCGCUGAACUUAAGCAUAUCAAUAAGCGGAGGA
rnacentral:rRNA from 1 species